rnacentral:tRNA from 1 species
AGUUAUAUAGUUUAAAUAAAACGUUAAUUUUGUAAAUUAAAAUUAAAUAGUAAGAAUUUUGUAUCUA